CACCCCCGGGCCUCGCCCUCCCGGGCCGCGCCUCCUCUGGUCCUGGCGGGCCUUGGGCCUCCCUUCUCUCCCUGCCUCCGCUCCUCCUCCCCGCCCCAGGCCUCGCGCCCCGGGCACCCCGCUGCCGGCGCCCCACCUCGGCUCGCCUCCCCCUGGGCCAUCUUCCCGGGGCCGCUUCCACGCGGUUCUGUCCCAGGAGGGAGAACGGAAAGAGGAACUGAGGACCCCUUGCUGGGGAAGUCAGGCCGGGAAAAGAACCUACUGAAGCGGGUUUGGGGGCGGAGAUAGGGUUAGACGUUGGGGACUUUCAAAGUAGGGAGGCGGACGGGAAGGACACGGUUCUGGCCGGUCGCCUUCCCCAUUUUGCAGCUCACACCCCUGUUGCUGACCCUCCAGGGAGGGAGACCCUUCCCGCUGAGCCGUCGUGGGCAGGCGGGGGCCCACCCGGAGGCCGGCCGGGCCAGGCCGGGGCGCUUGGCAGCCGUGGGUGCUCACAGUCCCCCCGCGCCCCCCGCCCCGGCUCCCCGCCCGCGCUGCGGGGCAAACCCUGCAGGGAGACGGGCUUUGGGACACGAAAGUGGAGUGUUGGGCGUGACUCUGACACUCGUCCUCCUCGCUGAACCUAGGGCAUUGGCUCUUAAGGCCUUGCUUUCCUGCCUGUGCGUCUCGGAAUACACGGGUCACGGAAAAGCAGGCCAAUUCAGCAGAACGAACUAAGCCCUCUCUGGUGACUUGGAGAAAACUCUGCCUAUGCAAAUCAUGGCUCCGUAUUUCUUUUAUAACAUGGUACAGCCCUGACCUCUCUCUGAACUCCAGUCCUCCCGCUUCCCCAUGUUUGCUGGACAGUCCCUCCUGGGCACCUGCUCCCUUCUCACCCUCCAGCAGAUUCCCAUUGGACAUGACAUCGCCACACAGGGAGAGCUGGGGGUCACAAGGCUUUCCUGGAGAGUGAGAUUGUCUCUCUGCCCUUCCUGUUCAUCCUCCCUGGGCGAGAGGCUGCGCUCACCCACCAGACAGACACACUGAGUGCCAGCCUCUGCUUCAAACAGAGGCCAUGCCUUGUCCCCUCUCUCAUCUGGCUUCCACUCAACAGAGCAGCUGAAGAAGUGGCACCUCAAGGGCUCCCCGACUAUUUUUAUGUGGCCAUCUGCCUUCUCGACAGGGCCUGGCAGGCAGCAACCCUCCCGAGGAAUGCCACAGCAGGUGGGUGACGCCCAGACAGCUGCGGAUGCCCAGCCCUGCCCUUGACUGUUGUUCUGGGGACGCUGGAAUUGUGGCGCAAGGAUACCAGGAGGAAAAAGGAAGCCUUUUUCAUGUCGUGGCUGGGGCAUGAUGUGGGUGCCCUUCUGUUCUUUUUCCGUUUCUAGGACAAGCUAAGUGCAGUUCUGCCCUGCCAUUGCUAGGACCCGGGUGGCAGGGCUGAGUGGGGAGCACAGUGUGGGGGGCAGCAACACGGGCCACCUGCGGACCUUAGUGCCGUCAGAGGAGACAGCACAGCAAGGAGGCUCUGCAGAGGGGAACGUACUCAGUGUAAGCCUCAGGCUUCAGCUGUAAUAAGACCCCGGGGUGUCCCUGCAGCCCACCCUGCCUGAAAGCUGAACUUGGGGCCACAUGGGAGCAGAUGGGGAUUUUCUCCAGAAACGUGGAUUGGCCGGGGACCAUGGUCAGAUCUGUGGUUAGGGAAGGGCUUCCUUACUCAUAGUUCCCGGGAAUGGAGGGAGCAUUAAAAAUCAAUCAAUAGGGGCACCUGGGUGGGUCAGUCGUUAAACAUU